rnacentral:rRNA from 1 species
GUAAGGCCCUUAGGGGUACACGAGCGGCGAACGGGUGAGUAACACGUGGGUGAUCUGCCUUGCACUCUGGGAUAAGCCUGGGAAACUGGGUCUAAUACCGGAUAUGAGCCUGAACUGCAUGGUUCGGGUUGGAAAGAUUUAUCGGUGCGAGAUGGGCCCG